GACGAACGCUGGCGGCGUGCCUAAUACAUGCAAGUUGAGCGCUGAAGGUUGGUACUUGUACCGACUGGAUGAGCAGCGAACGGGUGAGUAACGCGUGGGGAAUCUGCCUUUGAGCGGGGAACAACAUUUGGAAACGAAUGCUAAUACCGCAUAAAAACUUUAAACACAAGUUUUAAGUUUGAAAGAUGCAAUUGCAUCACUCAAAGAUGAUCCCGCGUUGUAUUAGCUAGUUGGUGAGGUAAAGGCUCACCAAGGCGAUGAUACAUAGCCGACCUGAGAGGGUGAUCGGCCACAUUGGGACUGAGACACGGCCCAAACUCCUACGGGAGGCAGCAGUAGGGAAUCUUCGGCAAUGGACGAAAGUCUGACCGAGCAACGCCGCGUGAGUGAAGAAGGUUUUCGGAUCGUAAAACUCUGUUGGUAGAGAAGAACGUUGGUGAGAGUGGAAAGCUCAUCAAGUGACGGUAACUACCCAGAAAGGGACGGCU
rnacentral:rRNA from 1 species